CAAGUCAACCUUCUCGACCAUGACGGAAUUCCUAUGCUGGCCCAUUGUUGGUCCAACUGCUACUGGAGAUUCUAAAAAGACAUGGAGAACACAAUCAAAGAAUGGCUAAGGUAUGCCAAGGACAGGGAUGAGGGAGGAAGAGACGGACAGAGAAGAAAAGAAAGGGGAGGAGGAGACUCGGGAAGAGGAAAUGGAGACUUAGGAGAGGGAUCAGAUGGAAAGUGGCAGUGCCUAACUUUUUUCUGUGAUAUAGUAUGACAUUCCUGUAGUUCUACUUUUUUUUGUGUCUGUUUGUCGGUUAUAAACUCGAUGCAGAUGCCAGAAAAUUUUUUUCUGUAAGUAAACAAAAUGACGGGAUUCAUUCUAGUAUUAUUUUAAGAACAGCUAGGAGGGCUUUGUUUAUUUGUUAGACGUGCUUAUUGAUACCUGUAAUUUACUGAACUUGUGCAUAAUUUACAUCAGAGAGGGAGUGUACAGUCAUGUAACCCUACAUGUAUAGCUUGAAGUGAGCAUCCACUUUUAAUUCUUUAUUAAUGUUUUCUUCAUGCACUGAGCAAUAAAAUUAUAGUAUGUUAUAA